AUGGACCGGGGGGGGGCAAAAAGUUGGUGUUUUGGGGAUGCUGGGGCUGCCACCCCCCCUGCUGAGCCCCCCGCCGAGCUCUGUUCCCGGCUCUGGGAUGGAGGAGAAAGCGCAGGGUGGGAUGCGGGGUGCGGGGUGCGGAGAGGGCGGCGGGGGUCCCGCAGCUGCCGGCGGGGCAAGGGGACAGGAGGAGGAGGAGGAGGAAGAGGAGGGGGGAGGAGGAAGAGGAGGAGGGAUGGGGAGGGGCGCUGCGAGCGGGAGCCAUGUGUCCGCCGGGCACAAAGGGAUUUGGGGCUCCCCGGUGGAGCCGCAGCCCGGUGCCUGGAGACGGGGCGAGCCCGCAGUGCGCGGACACCCCCCCCGCAUCCCCCCUGCACCGCGGAUGAAGGAGGGGGUGGGAUUAAACUCUCCCCCCCUGUCCCGGAGCGCUCUCCGGGCACAGAGCCGUCCCCCUGCCGGUGCCAGGGCACGGCGGCUCCCUCGGGUACGGGCCGGGCUGGCUGCUGCCGGGGCAAUGCCCUCCCGGCCCCCCCUUCACCACUUGAGUUUUUCCACUUGGCUGUCCCAACGGGAGGGGGAAGGGGCACGGUGCUCGCAAAAACCGUUUUCAUGGCAACAGCAAAGUUCCCUCCGUGUGAAAGCAAACUUUGUAGGGUUGGGGUGACGGGAGUGGGGCUGCGCGGAGCUGUCAAUCACGGCCCUCCCUUUCCGUCCCUGCCCUCCCUUCCCCUCCCUUUCCCUCUUCUUCCUCCCUUCCUCGCCCGGCACCUGCAGGGCCAGCAGCUCUGGCAAGACACCGCGGGCACGGAGCCGCCCAGCCCUGCCCCACUCUUCCUCCCUCAUCCUCCCCCCGCCAGCUCCUCGAGGGGGUCCUGGAGCCGCGGUGCUGGAGGAGGUGGGCAGCGCCGCCGGGGGGGGCUCGGAGCAAACCCCCCGGGCUUGGGGGGGCGAGGGGGCCCGUGCCUCGGCGUCCGGACCCCAACCGGGGGAGAGGGGGGGCUCCCCCAGCUUGGUGCCCCUCGGAGAGAGAAGAGCGUGAAGAUAACGGCGCUAAUUGGCACGGGGUGGGACGGGACGCCUCCGGGCAGGACCCGCGGGCACAGCCCUGGCCGGUGCCAGCACUUCGGAGACACCCUGGUGUCGGGCGGGGGGGUUGUGGUUUUGCAGUUCCGUAGCAGUUUUUCUGGCUAG
rnacentral:lncRNA from 1 species